AUGCAGCGCCCGGCUGGUCCGCUGGGGAACGAACCUGGAAGGAUGGGAAAGGUUGCGUGGCUGGCCCCCCGCACCCCACACAACCAGGGCGGGGAGGAGGUCUGCGUCCCGGCGCGGGCGCCCGAGCCACACGCUGGGCGCGCACAGGUCGCCUCGGCUUCCCGCUGGGAAAUCCUUGAACUGGGCGCACACACAGGCUGGCGAGAAAGACCUAGUACCCCGGCCGGUCGGCGAGGAGCGGGUGCGGGGGGGCACCCCAAGCUCGGCUCGCACGGGGCGCACACGGACACAGACACACAGCCACCCACGGCCCUGCUGGACUGCCACCCCUUUCCGCAGGACCUGGGUCUGGCCGGCGUGGUUGGGGGUCGGUGGGGGUCUGGUCCUUCUCGAAAAACUUUGCAAAGGAUGGAAACUCGCAGAGAUGAGAGCCGGCGUGUGCCCAGAGACGUGGCGGCGCGAGUGUCAAACUUCGGAGGGCUAGGGCGAGGGGCGCGGAGGGGGCGCACUUACUACUCCGCCGGGCGCUGGGCUCGGGCUCCGCGCUCCUGCUCCUCCUCCGUCCGGUCCCCGCGGCCGGCAGCCCGGGCUUCCCGCUCACAUGCCCGGCGGCGCAGCGCCUGGGCGGCGCGGCUGGGAGGGGCACGCCCCCCGCCGGCGGCCGGGGGGUCGCUCGGCACUCGGGGCCACCCUGGGUCCGCGCCCCACGACCGGCCGCCGGCCCCGGCGGAGAGCGCGGUUCCGGGCGGGCGGCGCCCUCCGCGAGCCAGGCCGCUCUCUGCCCUCUGCCCUCUGCCCUCUGCCCGCCGCCGGCUCCCUGCCUUCCGCGGCGCUCUGCCUGGCUCGCCGGCCCAGCGCCGGCCCGCCCGGCUCCCCGCUCCGCGUUCCGCGCCUCGGCUCGGUCCCGAUCGGCCUCCGCGGCUGCCCGCUGCGCCCGGGCGCAGAGCUGGGCUCGCCGCUCCGGGCCGGGGCGCCAGGACCCGCGCUCACACAGUUCAGUUCCAAGCCUGGACCAGGAGCAGGGCGCUCGCGGCUCGCGGCUGCGAGGCGACUCCACAGCCUCAGAGGAGAAAGAGGGAGGGAGACAGAGCGGGCAGGGGGAGGAGGAGGGAGGAAGGGUGGGGAGACGGAGAAGGAGGGAGGGACAGAGUUCCCGCCUCCUCCCUGCAGCCAGGUCCAGCCCGGCUUCAACAGCUGGAAACCUCUGCUGGAAGGGGCGGGGGUUGGGGGGGGCACUAA
rnacentral:lncRNA from 1 species